AGUUGGCGGCGGCGGCGGCGGCGGGAGCGCAGGUGAGCGGCGGCCGCGCCGGGAGGGAUCCCGCGUUCCGGAGCUGCGGGGCGCCGCCGACCCCGGGGCCGCACGGGCCAGCCUGUCCCGGGGGUGGGAGCGCGGAGCUGCAGCUCCACGCGCCGCGGAGCCCGGGCACGGCGCGGCUCCCCCCUCCCGCGCCCCAUCCUUCGCGCUGCCCGGUGUCGCCCAUGCUGCAGACGGGCCCCGCCGCCCCCCCGUCACCCUCCAGGAGCAGGUGAGCCACUGACUAACGCACAUUGUGCUCUCGGCGACUCCACUGUGCGUGUGACAGCGGCUAACCUGCUCCUCGGACAUCACUGUGCGGCCGCCUCGCCUCCCCGGACCCGCGCCUCGAAGCCUCGACGCCCUCCUGCCCUCUCGGCCAGCCAGCCCUGCAUUUGGGACUGUGCUGGCUGCUGAGUUAACCCCGGGAGAUGCCGCUGGCAGGAGCAGCUCUGCAGGUCGCCUGGCAAGGCCUGUCCCAGUUCCCAUGAGCAGCACUAUGGUGUGAAUGCUUCCGACUUCCUGCUACCGAUGGACCCAUCCUGUUCAGCUCCAGGCAAGGUAGAAUGCAGUCUGCACUCUGAGACGGAGAAAGAAAAAUCAUCAUAGGAGAGCAGACAAUGUUCCCUGCAUGGACACACACGCCAGUUCAAACAGCUCUUCUCCAUCUGCAGUGAACUAUGCUGGGAGAAGCUGUGCAGCCAGGAGCAAGCAGCAGAGCAUCUGUACACCACUUGGGGAGCAAAACCAACAGGCAUUUUCUCCUCCAGACAUUCACACCUUUCCUUAUGUAACUGGUGCUGAAGUGUGUGCUUUAAAAGCUGCUUGCCAAAUCCAGGGGCUGGGAGGCAGCACAAAUGCUUCUAGCACUCUAGAUGAAAUUGAGGGGGAAAAAAACCCCAAACCCAAACACCCAGGAACUUGUACAAAUACGUAACUGCAACUUGGGGAUGGUUCAAGUGUCUACAGCAGUGUUAUCCUGAAGAAACUGCACUGGCCUGGAGCAGUGCUGGCACCCAGACCACCAUCUGAUGAGGAUGGUGAGGAGCUCACUGUCCAGGAUAGAGGGGUGAGGAGCUGGGGGCCAUUUUUCUUACACAAUAGUAAAAAAACAAAAACCAAAAAAUCUAAAAAAAAAAAAAAAAAAAAAAACCACAUAGUGCAGCCAGGAAAAGGGUGCCAGGGAGGCUGGAGGUGGCUGAAAUACUCUUCUGAAUGGUGCCUUGUGCUGGCAGAACCUGCAGAUUUAUUAAAAAAAAAAAAGCCAACAAAAAUGCAGGACUGCUCACUAGUGAAAAACAGGUACAUCCUUCACUUUGUGAUUUUUUGGGUGGCACUAGAGCUAGCCAGGAGAAGCAUCUGAGGAGAGAGAAGCUCUGAAGUCCAUUCCUGCCCACUCCAGGGAAGGAAGAAGCUGCCCACAGUGCCUGAGGGACAUGGGGACACGAGUCCCUGCGCAGCCAGGCACAGCAUCCUCGAGCCACCCUGCAUGCUGGGAUCCCUGCCUUGCCCACGAGCCAGUUGUUCCCUCUCCAGUACGCGCCGUACGCAGGGCUUUUGGUUUGUUUUUUAAGGGAAAAAACAAUAAUUUAUUUGCUUUGUUUUAAUCUCAUAACAAUGGGUAAUGGUAAUUUCUUCCUACCACUCUGUAGUGGCCUAGAAAAGGACAGCAUCAUCUCCACUGUAGCAAGAAGGCUUGUCCCAGGGCAUAAAAUUUUAAUUAGGAACAAUCACGCAGCCUUGAAAUGGGAAUUGCGAGCAGCAAAAAAAGUCAAACCAUCAAUAAAAUAUUCAAUGGCAGAAAUGUAUUAUUGACACAGACUUUAGAGCAGCUAAAAGCGGGAAGGCGGGGGAGCGGGUAUUGAGCCUCGCUGCGUUAAAUAACAGCGGGGCCCCGCCCGCCCGGCCGGCACAGGCCCCCCGAGCCGGCAGGAAUAUAGGUCACCCUCGGUGGGGAGCUCCCCAGGUAACACAGGAGUUUGAU